UGGAUCCUGAGUACGACGGAGCACGUGAAAUUCCGUCGGAAUCUGGGAGGACCAUCUCCUAAGGCUAAAUACUCUCUAGUGACCGAUAGUGAACCAGUACCGUGAGGGAAAGGUGAAAAGUACCCCGGAAGGGGAGUGAAAGAGAACUUGAAACCGUGUGCUUACAAGUAGUCAGAGCCCGUUAAUGGGUGAUGGCGUGCCUUUUGUAGAAUGAACCGGCGAGUUACGAUCUGAUGCAAGGUUAAGCAGAAAAUGUGGAGCCGUAGCGAAAGCGAGUCUGAAUAGGGCGAAUGAGUAUUUGGUCGUAGACCCGAAACCAGGUGAUCUACCCUUGGUCAGGUUGAAGUUCAGGUAACACUGAAUGGAGGACCGAACCGACUUACGUUGAA
rnacentral:rRNA from 1 species